rnacentral:rRNA from 1 species
AUACGUAGGUGACAAGCGUUAUCCGGAAUUAUUGGGCGUAAAGGGUGCGUAGGCGGCUAAUUAAGUACAAGGUUAAAGUUCAGAGCUCAACUCUGUGAUGCCUUGUAAACUGGUUGGCUAGAGUACAGGAGAGGUGAGUGGAAUUCCAUGUGUAGCGGUAAAAUGCGUAGAGAUAUGGAGGAACACCAGUGGCGAAGGCGGCUCACUGGCCUGUAACUGACGCUGAGGCACGAAAGCGUGGGGAGCAAAUAGGAUUAGAUACCCUAGUAGUCCACGCCGUAAACGAUGAAUACUAAGUGUUGGAGUAACAUUCAGUGCUGCAGUUAACGCAAUAAGUAUUCCGCCUGGGGAGUAUGCACGCAAGUGUGAA